rnacentral:rRNA from 1 species
UACGAAGGGGGCUAGCGUUGUUCGGAUUUACUGGGCGUAAAGGGCGCGUAGGCGGAUACUUAAGUCGGGGGUGAAAGCCCGGGGCUCAACCCCGGAACUGCCUUCGAUACUGCGGGUCUCGAGUCCGGGAGAGGUGAGUGGAAUUCCUAGUGUAGAGGUGAAAUUCGUAGAUAUUAGGAAGAACACCAGUGGCGAAGGCGGCUCACUGGCCCGGUACUGACGCUGAGGCGCGAAAGCGUGGGGAGCAAACAGG